rnacentral:lncRNA from 1 species
UGAUCAUAGAAUUCCUUCGUCGGUUGAAAGAUGAUGAGCUGUGCCAAAUUAAGCAGAAUGCAGCAUGGGAACUAUAGUUGUAUAAUGCAGCGAUCUAAGCAAAAUAUAAAAGCCAAAACCAAUGGAAACAAGAAGGCUUGACAUCAGUUGAAACAAAAAUGUGCCAUCUGAUACACAGCUGUGCCAAGCAAAAGCAACAUAUGUAACCCCAUCAACACAAUAGCGACUAAUCGCAUAAACCAGCAUAACUGAACCACAAAGCAUAUGAACAACCCCCAA